rnacentral:rRNA from 1 species
UCCUAGUCAGAGACGCAGGCCUCGGUCUAUAUGGCAUCUUCCACUUUCGCUGUUCAAUCCGCGAUUUGAGCAACGUACCUUUGGAGUUGGCCCCUGUCUAUGUUCCUUGGAACAGGACGUCACAGAGGGUGAGAAUCCCGUGCGAUGGGGAGACCAAUUCUAUGUAAAGUUCCUUCGAAGAGUCGAGUUGUUUGGGAAUGCAGCUCUAAGUGGGUGGUAAAUUCCAUCUAAAGCUAAAUAUUGGCGAGAGACCGAUAGCGAACAAGUACAGUGAUGGAAAGAUGAAAAGAACUUUGAAAACAAAGUGAAAAAGUACGUGAAAUUGUUGAAAGGGAAGGGCUUUUGAUCAGACUUGGUGUUAAGGACUCUCCACUCCUUGUGGGUGGGGCUCUUGCUUUAUACUGGGCCAGCAUCGGUUUGGAUGGCAGGAUAAUGACUUUGGAAUGUGGCUUCAUUCGUGGAGUGUUAUAGCCUUUGUUGAUACUGCCUAUCUAGACCGAGGACUGCAUCUUUUGACUAGGAUGCUGGC